rnacentral:misc_RNA from 1 species
AGGCCGAUGAUUACCAAAAUAUAACCAAAUGUUUGAGUGAUUGUUUGUGAGCAUUUGUCACUAUCGCUGAGGUCUU